AGUGAACGCUGGCGGAAGGCCUAACACAUGCAAGUCGAACGGAAGCACAGUAAGAGCUUGCUCUUAUGGGUGGCGAGUGGCGGACGGGAGAGGAAUACAUCCGAAUCUAUUUUUUGGUGGGGGAUCACGUAGGGAAAGUUACGCAAAUACCGUAUAAGACCCACGGGUGUAAGAAGGGGAUCUUUGGACCUUUCGCGAUUGAAUAAGCCGAUGUCGGAUUAGCUAGUUGGCGGGGUAAAGGCCGACCAAGGCGACGAUCCGUAGCUGGUCUGAGAGGAUGAUCAGCCACACUGGAACUGAGACACGGUCCAGACUCCUACGGGAGGCAGCAGUGGAGAAUAUUGGACAAUGGGCGCAAGCCUGAUCCAGCCAUACCGCGUGGGUGAAGAAGGCCUUCGGGUUGUAAAGCCCUUUUGUUGGGAAAGAAAAGCAGCAGGUUAAUACCCCGCUGUUCCGACGGUACCCAAAGAAUAAGCACCGGCUAACUUCGUG
rnacentral:rRNA from 1 species